GAUUUCUGGUUUAGUGCGCUUGGCCCGCCACGGUUUCGUGCGUGAGUGCCGAUGCGCGCUUACCAUCCUUCUGGAGAAUGUUCCUGCCCUUUACUGGGUUGGGUUCACAAUCCAGAACUUUUACUUUGAAAAAAUUAGAGUGUUUAAAGCAGGCUUGUGCUAUGAAUACAUUAGCAUGGAAUAAUGAUUUAGGACUUGAGUCUUAUUUUGUUGGUUUCCAGGACUGAAGUAAUGAUUGAUAGGGAUAGUUGGGGGUGCUAGUAUUCAGCGGCCAGAGGUGAAAUUCUUGGAUUCGCUGAAGACUAACUUAUGCGAAAGCAUU
rnacentral:rRNA from 1 species